GAGGCCUUUGCGCCCCCUGAAUUGUGGUCUAGAGAGGCGCCUUCGGGCGCGCGCGCCGCUCAAGUCCCUUGGAAGAGGGUAUCGGAGAGGGUGAGAAUCCCGUACCGUGGCCGCGCGCGCCCUCACGAUGCGUGCUCGUCGAGUCGGGUUGCUUGGGAUUGCAGCUUGAAGUGGGUGGUAAAUUCCAUCUAAAGCUAAAUACUGGCGAGAGACCGAUAGCGAACAAGUACCGUGAGGGAAAGAUGCAAAGAACUUUGAAAAGAGAGUCAAAGAGUGCUUGAAAUCGGCAGGAGGAAACCCGGAUGGGCCCGGCUUCGGCGCGCCGACUCAGCCGCCCGCUCGGGGCGGUGCACUUUGUCGCGCCGGGUCAGCCGCCGCUCUGCGCGCGUCACAAGCGGGGAGUAGGGCUCCGGCGAGCUCCCCCUCUGCCUCUCGCGGGGCGCCGGCUGACGGAACGGGCCCCUCCGACCCGUCUUGAAACACCGGNCAGGAUCGGAAAG
rnacentral:rRNA from 1 species